rnacentral:rRNA from 1 species
UCUGGCUCAGGAUGAACGCUGGCGGCGUGCCUAACACAUGCAAGUCGAACGGAAGAUAAGCGCUUCGGAGACUUCGGUCAAUGUUUGCUUAACCUUAGUGGCGGACGGGUGAGUAACGCGUGGAUAACCUGCCUCAUACAGGGGGAUAACAGUUAGAAAUGACUGCUAAUACCGCAUAAGCGCACGGAAUCGCAUGUUUCUGUGUGAAAAACUGAGGUGGUAUGAGAUGGAUCCGCGUCUGAUUAGCUAGUUGGCGGGGUAACAGCCCACCAAGGCGACGAUCAGUAGCCGGCCUGAGAGGGUGAACGGCCACAUUGGGACUGAGACACGGCCCAAACUCCUACGGGAGGCAGCAGUGGGGGAUAUUGCACAAUGGGGGAAACCCUGAUGCAAGCGACGCCGCGUGAGUGAAGAAGUAUUUCGGUAUGUAAAGCUCUAUCAGCAGGGAAGAUAAUGACGGUACCUGACUAAGAAGCACCGGCUAAAUACGUGCCAGCCGCCGC